rnacentral:rRNA from 1 species
CAAUAGCGUAUAUUAAAGUUGUUGCAGCUAAAAAGCUCGUAGUUGGAUUUCUGGUCGGAAGCUCCUGUCCUCUGAUGAGCGUACAAGUGCGUCCUACCAUCCUUCUGUUAACCUUUAAGGCUUUCGCGGCUUUCUAGGGGCUCAGAUAUUUUACCUUGAGAAAAUUAGAGUGUUUCAGGCAGGCUAGCGCCGGAAUACAUUAGCAUGGAAUAAUGGAAUAGGACUUUUGCCUCUUCUGUUGGUCAUGAGGCUCGAGUAAUGAUUAAUAGGGAUAGUUGGGGGCAUUAGUACUUAACUGUCAGAGGUGAAAUUCUCGGAUUUGUUAAAGACUAACUUAUGCGAAAGCAUUUGCCAAGGAUGUUUNCAUUAA